GGUAGGGUGGCCGAGAGUUUAGGCGGUGGGUUGUAGCCCCGAAGAUAAAGGUUUAAGUCCUUUUCCUAUCA
rnacentral:tRNA from 1 species